AGAUGACCUCUUGAGAGGCUAGAUGGCAUGGAGUAUUUGUUUCUGGUGGAGUCUCGUUUAGCUAGAAUCAAGGUUAGUUUAAAGGAUCAGAUAGGUGUGUGAUGAAUGAACGGAAAACAAGCACUGGGAUUGCGUGAACAAUAUUUCACUUAGUUUUCCAAAUGGAGAUGGGGACUUGAGGGAGGGCAUGUGUUUGAGGUGGAGGGUUCUUUGCUUUGAAGGAAUCUUGCUGACAGAAUCCAUGAGAGUCUCAAGCCAAUGGAAUAAUCAUAACUACCAAUUGACCAUGGACUGUUUCCUGGGUGUUGUUGGGGAAUGAAGACUAGACUCAAAGCCCCGUUGUAUUUAAAGAAUGGUCUCUUCCCUUCAGUUAAAUAAUGAAGUAAUGACUAUGAAUGGAAUCAGGAGAAGGUUGUAGAAGUGUUCAGUAAGCAUCUGCUCUGACAGGCUGAUCUUAGUUUGCCCUCACGCCCUCCUGGACUCAUAUUUGCCAGGCCUGGCACUUCUUCCCUAAUUAUUGCAUCUGAUGGACACAGGUUGCCGUCUGUCUGUGAAGAAAUGGGCUCUCAACUGGGGACAGGGGCCCUCUGGACAUCGGGGCGACAAUGCCCUGUGUUGGUCUCCUGGGCACAGGGCAGGGCCUACCUAGCUCCUUGCAGCCUCCCUAGGGCUUUACCUAAGUAACACUCACAGGGUGUAAGUGGACUUAGCCACCUGGUGAUUCUGUCCCAAGUGAAAUUGUGUCUCUGAUACUGUUUUUGUCCUUGGCUCCCGGAACACAUCUGCUUCUCCCCUUCAUUCAGUUUAUGGACUGGGCUUGCUGCCUUUGUGCCUAGAAAUGCCAGAAUAGGAAGGGAAUUCUAGUUGGCAGAAUGAAUAUCCAUAUUCUUCUAAGAAUGUCCUUCAUGUGCUGCUUUGUUUUCAUUCACAGAGUGUCGUGUCACUCCUUAGGUCAUCCUGGCUGGGUAUCUGGGGAACUGGUUAGAAAGGGGAAGAGAUGAGUGGACAUCAUGGCCAAUAAAAGCAAAGGACUUGGAGCUGCAAGAACAAGUCAGGACAGAAUGCAGAGAUUUGUUGCCCUCCACCCAGAAGACGGGUGAGAAGCCACAGGAGGCAAAGGAGAGGCCAGGCAGGAGUCCUGUGGCUGAGGGCAGACUAACGGGGGGCCAGCCCUGUGUUUUGUGGGUGCAGGGACCAGAAACAGAGCUCAGAAGCCUAUCCAGGAAGAUUCAAAGCUCACGGAAUAUGGACUAUCCUCUGGAGCUGAUGCUGAUAGCAAAUUUUUAUUGAUGCUUCAUACUUUCCUAAAGGGAAGGGGAAAACCAAAGUGGGUGAGGUAGGGGGCCCCUCUGUGGAAGCCCCAGGAGCUCUGGGGUGUUGGGGGAGCUGGGCACAGCUGUGGAGCUGCUCCUCAAUUCUGUCUUGCUCUGAGGAUCGAUUUAACCCGAAAGCUCCCCCAGACAGAAACGCCUCCCUGCCCCAUUGGGGAGUGCCAGGCAGUCACCUGUGGCCCAUCCCAGCUGUGUCUGUGCCACCCAGAGGUUAGCCUGUGUGUACCCUGCCUCCUCAAGGUCAGUGUCUCUGCUCCUCCCCUCGUGCGGUGUGAUUCAGUCACGUCAGACGGGUAAACUGGUACUAACACUUGCUUUUCCUGCGCUCACACACUGGUAGCCUUGGAGCAGCUCUUGGGGGUGUAUGGAGCCCACCUGACAGUCCUUAGGGCCUCCCCAGAUAGGUGUGCUGCGGCUGUGCCCUUUACCUGACCUGGGGGUUUGCGGAAUCCAUGUGUAUUAGCCACAGCUGACCUUUCUCUGUGUUCUGAUCUGUGUUGGAACAGUACAUGUAGAUUCUUUUUCAGUGCAGUUCCAGAACAUCAUGUAUUGUACAUUGGGAAAUAUUUACCUUAUUUAUAUACCUGAAUGUUCCUGUUACACAAAUAAACAUCUAUUAAGU
rnacentral:lncRNA from 1 species